AGUGAACGCUGGCGGUAGGCCUAACACAUGCAAGUCGAACGGCAGCACAGUAAGAGCUUGCUCUUACGGGUGGCGAGUGGCGGACGGGUGAGGAAUACAUCGAAAUCUACUUUUUCGUGGGGGAUAACGUAGGGAAACUUACGCUAAUACCGCAUACGACCUACGGGUGAAAGCAGGGGAUCUUCGGACCUUGCGCGAUUGAAUGAGCCGAUGUCGGAUUAGCUAGUUGGCGGGGUAAAGGCCCACCAAGGCGACGAUCCGUAGCUGGUCUGAGGGGAUGAUCAGCCACACUGGAACUGAGACACGGUCCAGACUCCUACGGGAGGCAGCAGUGGGGAAUAUUGGACAAUGGGCGCAAGCCUGAUCCAGCCAUACCGCGUGGGUGAAGAAGGCCUUCGGGUUGUAAAGCCCUUUUGUUGGGAAAGAAAAGCAGCAGGUUAAUACCCCGCUGUUCUGACGGUACCCAAAGAAUAAGCACCGGCUAACUUCGUG
rnacentral:rRNA from 1 species